rnacentral:lncRNA from 1 species
GUCAUAGGAGCAAGUAGGGUUACAUGACCCUCUCUUCCCCUUCAAUAGGGUGCUCUUCAUGGCGUGUAGGGGUAUCACUGUGAGGUCCUAUGAAGAAGAAAGUAAAAGGAGAAAAUUUAUUUUUCUGCAAAACCCUAGAUAUUGAAAUCCUAAGAUUUAUUGUAUGUGAUACAAAACAUGAGUUUUAUGAAAAGUAAAAUAUUUAAUUUAUAUGAUUAAAAUUAUUUUAAUCAUAAAAAUAAAAUUUAAAAUUAUAAAAUAUUUAGAUAUAAUCUA